rnacentral:misc_RNA from 1 species
UUUCCGUAGGUGAACCUGCGGAAGGAUCAUUAUUGUAUACCCAAGGUACGAGGGCCGUCGCUGACUCGAAAGGUCGUGAACGCGCGAGUGCUCUCACACACAUCCCUCUCACCCCUAAGUGCAUGACCGCGUGGCUCCCCCCUUCGCGUUUUCGGAGGGGGGCUUACGUCUUCAACCAAACCUUGUAUGGCGUGUAGAAUGUAUUUUUUGUUUUUGCGAUCACGCAAUCAAUACAACUUUCAACAACGGAUCUCUUGGCUCUC